rnacentral:rRNA from 1 species
UACGUAGGGCGCGAGCGUUGUCCGGAAUCAUUGGGCGUAAAGAGCUCGUAGGCGGCCUGUCGCGUCUGCUGUGAAAACCCGGGGCUCAACCCCGGGCCUGCAGUCGAUACGGGCAGACUAGAGUGCGGUAGGGGAGACUGGAAUUCCUGGUGUAGCGGUGAAAUGCGCAGAUAUCAGGAGGAACACCGGUGGCGAAGGCGGGUCUCUGGGCCGUAACUGACGCUGAGGAGCGAAAGCGUGGGGAGCGAACAGG